rnacentral:tRNA from 1 species
UGGAGCAGCUUGGUAGCUCGUCGGGCUCAUAACCCGAAGGUCGUUGGUUCAAAUCCGGC